rnacentral:lncRNA from 1 species
CAAUUUAUUAGAAAAUACAUCCAUGAUUUUUCUUUCACGGAGAAAAAAAGGAACACUCUGAACUCUGAUAUUACAUGACUAGCUUUAACAUUUCACAAAAACAUGAAGUAUCACGCAAGGGUUUGUAUGCCAGGCCAGACUGGUGGAAAAAUCAAUUUUUGAUCAGGGUCAGAUGGAUCCAACUUGAACAUUGAUACAGGGCUUCCUUUGUCCCCAAUAAGAAAUCACAUGACUUCCACAUAUACCGGGGAAAAAAAAGGGGCAUGGAGCACCAGCUCGAAUGCAAGAAAAUUGAUUGAUUGGGAUUCAGAACUGAACUUGCUGGCUAGCUUACAUUGCAACCCAGCAAUGCUCACUUUUUAAUUCAUAGGAAGACAGUUGUAUAUCUUUUCAGAAACACCGUCCAUUAAAAAAGUAAAAGUAAAGCAGUACCAGCAUGAAACUGCAGCUUCAAGGUCAGAACUACUCUC